rnacentral:lncRNA from 1 species
GAAAAGUAAACGAUUGAACAUCUUAUUCGCAACUCUCUUAUGGAUCGGGAUCUGGAUCUUAAUUCUCUUGAUGUGAAAUGAUUAAUGAAAUAAUUAAUGAAAUGGUGAACUACACUACCCCAACAAUAAUGUCACACUGCUCACCGAUACAGAAAUGAAUAUUGAUAAAAAUUAUGAAAAUAACUAAUGGAGCUCUUAAUUUAAGUAAACUUAUUU